rnacentral:rRNA from 1 species
GAUAGGACUAAGACAUGCUAGUCGAGUGAUUCAGGCAAAACGAGUCACGGCACGCAGCUCAGUAACACGUGGCUAAUCUGCCCUUAGGACGAGAACAACCCCGGGAAACUGGGGCUAACUCUCGAUAGGCGAAGAACUCUGGAAUGAGUCUUUACCUAAAUAGUGCAACGUUAUCCUCGUUGCAUCGCCUAAGGAUGAGGCCGCGACCGAUCAGGUUGUUGGCGAGGUAAUGGCUCACCAAGCCUUUUACCGGUGCGGGCCGUGAGAGCGGGAGCCCGGAGAUGGGCACUGAGACAAGGGCCCAGGCCCUACGGGGCGCAGCAGUCGCGAAAACUUUGCAAUAAGCGAAAGCUUGACAGGGCUAUCCCGAGUGCCAUCCGCUGAGGAAGGCUUUUACCCAGUCUAGAACGCUGGGGGAAUAAGGAGAGGGCAAGUCUGGUGUCAGCCGCCGCGGUAAUACCAGCUCUCCGAGUGGUGUGGAUGUUUAUUGGGCCUAAAGCAUCCGUAGCUGGCUAGGUCAGUCCCUUGUUAAAUCCACCGAAUUAAUCGUUGGAUUGCGGGGGAUACUGCUUGGCUAGGGGACGAGAGAGGCAGACGGUAUUUUCGGGGUAGGGGUGAAAUCCUAUAAUCCCGGGAAGACCACCAGUGGCGAAGGCUGUCUGCUAGAACGCGCCCGACGGUGAGGGGUGAAAGCUGGGGGAGCGAACCGGAUUAGAUACCCGGGUAGUCCCAGCUGUAAACGAUGCAGACUAGGUGUUUGGACGGCCACGUGCCGUUCUAGUGCCGCGGGGAAGCUGUUAAGCCUGCCGCCUGGGGAGUACGAUCGCAAGAUUGAAACUUAAAGGAAU